ensembl:lncRNA
UGGAAGUCUCACAUCUCCUGAUUUAAUGGAGCUGCUUUGCACUUUUUACACUGUUUAUUCACCAACACUUUAUUUAAUAAAAGUCCCAUCUAGUUUUUAUGAGGAAAGUGAUGUUUUAAUUUCUCUGUGAAUAACUGCAGUCUAAUGCAACAGCUGGAGUUGUAACAUCUGUCCUGAUAUUGAUCAUGAAGUAUUGAUCAGAAUACUUAUGGUCAGCAGUCAUCCCUGAAGUUUUACAUUAAAAUCUUUACUUGUGUUGUGAACUUUGGUAAGAAGCAGAAAUGUUAGCAUUGCCAUGGAUACAUGAGUAUUAAAUUCUGCAGUCCAGUUCCAGAAUGUGGAGGAAUUUAGUCUCACAAUCACAGACAACAAAUAUUAUCUGAAAGUCGGGCUAUUGUUGUUUAUCAGCACAAUACAAAAAGAUUGUUAGAAAUAUUCCAGUUAAGACUCUAGAAUAUCAUGAUUUAUGUAAAUUUACCUCAAUAAUAUGAAUGUUCAGGUUAAGAUUGUACAGUGAUAUUUAUUAUGUAAGUUUAGCUGAUUGAAGUUUAUGGCUCUGCACUACAAUAUUAUUUAAAUUGAUAUCAUUAUUAUAAUAUUUAGGGUCAGACCCUACAGUAUUGAGAUUAAGAAAUCAAAUAUUCUAUAAAAUGUAAAUACACUGAACUCAUUUGGAUAUAUUUAAGUGAGACUCUACAAUAUUAUUUGACACAAAUCUAUCUAAAUCAAAAUUUUAACCAUUUUUACUCCAAACAUUUACUGGACUGAUUUAAAUAUUAAAAUCACUCCUUUCUAAUCCUCUGCUGUACGUUCAAACCUGAGGCCUUAAAUAGAAACACACAAGUAUCUGUUUGAAGGAACUUCUGCAGAGUCCUGGUUCCAGAACAUGAUGAUAGAAUUAUAGACAAACUUUAACAAAAGCUGCCUGAGAGUUUACAGGUUUUUGUUAGAUUUCUUCAGUAAUUUAAUGAGAGUUAUCAGCAAAAAUCAAGUGUUCAUUUGAUGAACUUCAUUUCCUAAAACAUCCAGAAUUGGAGCUCAUAUCUUUGGCAGCUGUAAAGUUUCUGCUCCUUCAAAGUUUACAACACAAUGAAUUAAUUCCUAAAACACUCUCAAUGCUGGAGAGUGUUUGUGAUGCUGAAGCAGUGACCAGUUUUUCUGUUUCUUCUCUGGAGAUGCACAAUGAGGGACGUCUGCAGAGACUGAGAAAGAGUCUCACCACAUCCUUACAUGAGGAAAAAGACUUUAUUGAAGACUACAAUGAGAAAAACUAUCCAGACAGCAGACGGCUGCAUUCAAGUCUGUAGCUGCUGAAUUCAUGGAUGAAUCAUCUGGCACUAGAGAGGAAGACCAUCAAACAUCCAUGUCAGCUGAUGGAGGUCCAAGAGUCUCACCAAGCAAACAACCUACAGAGUGAAGACCUCAAAUCUGAUUGGACGGCCUCCUAUUCAGCCACAUUUUAGGCUGUUAGAUUGUUCCAGAUAAGACAAGUACAAGAUUCUUCAGAGCCGUUCUACCACGAUCCUGACAGGAAGAACUCCAACAGCUACUGAAUGUUCCUGUGGUCCCCUCAAGGCUACAGGAGGAGCCCUACGAGGACGAGCCGGUCCACCUGAUGGCGGCCAGUCGCUGCGGUUCAAAGCCAACACCGACUACGUGGACUUCUACUGGACCACACGGAGGCC